ensembl:snRNA U2 U2 spliceosomal RNA
AUCGCUUCUCGGCCUUUUGGCUAAGAUCAAGUGUAGUAUCAAAUUGUAAUGUGAAAAUAUGUACAAUAAACUAUUUCUGCACAAAAAAAAGAUUUUCCUUAUAAUAACUGCAGUUUGGGGUCCUACUACAAGUAAAUUUUGGGGAAAUUAA